rnacentral:rRNA from 1 species
UACGAAGGGGGCUAGCGUUGUUCGGAAUUACUGGGCGUAAAGCGCGCGCAGGCGGUCUUCCAAGUCAGUGGUGAAAGCCCGGAGCUCAACUCCGGAACUGCCAUUGAAAUUGUUAGACUUGAGGACGAGAGAGGUGAGUGGAAUUCCCAGUGUAGAGGUGAAAUUCGUAGAUAUUGGGAAGAACACCGGUGGCGAAGGCGGCUCACUGGCUCGUAUCUGACGCUCAGGCGCGACAGCGUGGGGAUCAAACAGG